CUCACCUGGAUAGCUUGUUAAAAUGCAGAUUCCACUUCAGUGGGCCUGGGAUUCUGCAUUUCUAACAAGUUCCCAGGUGUUGCGAA
rfam:TPA: Bos taurus chromosome 13, whole genome shotgun sequence.